UACGAGGGGGGCAAGUGUUGUUCGGAAUCACUGGGCGUAAAGGGAGCGUAGGCGGAUGUUUAAGUUGGAGGUUUAAAACCGGGGCCCAACCCCGGAGCGGCCUCCAAAACUGGGCAUCUUGAAUGGAACAGAGGCUAGUGGAAUAGGGGGUGUAGCGGUGGAAUGCGUAGAGAUCCCCUAGAACACCAAUUGCGAAGGCAGCUAGCUGGGUUCACAUUGACGCUGAGGCUCGAAAGCAUGGGGAGCAAACAGGAUUAGAUACCCUGGUAGUCCAUGCCGUAAACGAUGAACACUAGGUUUCGGACUCGUCAACGGUUCGGAGCCGCAGCUAACGCGUUAAGUGUUCCGCCUGGGGAAUACGGUCGCAAGACUGAA
rnacentral:rRNA from 1 species